GACAGAGGGUGCAAACGUUGUUCGGAAUUACUGGGCGUAAAGCGUGUGUAGGCGGCCAGACAGGUCAGCUGUGAAAACUCGAGGCUCAACCUCGAGACGUCGGUUGAAACCGUCUGGCUAGAGUCCGGAAGAGGAGAGUGGAAUUCCCGGUGUAGCGGUGAAAUGCGCAGAUAUCGGGAAGAACACCCGUGGCGAAGGCGGCUCUCUGGGACGGUACUGACGCUGAGACGCGAAAGCGUGGGGAGCGAACAGG
rnacentral:rRNA from 1 species